rnacentral:rRNA from 1 species
CGUGAGUGAUGAAGGCUUUCGGGUCGUAAAGCUCUGUCAAGUGGGAAGAAACCAUAUGGUAUUAAUACCGCCAUAUGCUGACGGUACCACUGAAGGAAGCACCGGCUAACUCCGUGCCAGCAGCCGCGGUAAUACGGGGGGUGCGAGCGUUAUUCGGAAUUACUGGGCGUAAAGAGCGCGUAGGCGGUCUUUUAAGUCAGGUGUGAAAGCCCGGGGCUCAACCCCGGAAGUGCACUUGAAACUAAGAGACUUGAGUAUGGGAGAGGGAAGUGGAAUUCCUGGUGUAGCGGUGAAAUGCGUAGAUAUCAGGAGGAACAUCGGUGGCGAAGGCGACUUCCUGGACCAAUACUGACGCUGAGGCGCGAAGGCGUGGGGAGCAAACAGGAUUAGAUACCCUGGUAGUCCACGCAGUAAACGGUGAACACUAGGUGUAGCGGGUAUUGACCCCUGCUGUGCCGCAGCAAACGCAUUAA